UACGAAGGGGGGCAAGCGUUGUCCGGAAUCAUUGGGCGUAAAGCGCGUGUAGGCGGUUCGGUAAGUCUGCUGUGAAAGUCCAGGGCUCAACCCCUGGGAUGCCGGUGGAUACUGUCGGACUAGAGUACGGAAGAGGCGAGUGGAAUUCCCGGUGUAGCGGUGAAAUGCGCAGAUAUCGGGAGGAACACCAAUUGCGAAGGCAGCUCGCUGGGACGUCACUGACGCCUGAGACGCGAAAGCGUGGGGAGCAAACAGGG
rnacentral:rRNA from 1 species